rnacentral:rRNA from 1 species
CCUGGUUGAUACUGCCAGUAUCAUAUGAUUUUCUUAAAGAUUGAGCCAUGCACAUUUAAGUUCACAGGGCUGGUACAGUGACACUGCGAAUGGCUUAUUGAAUUAGUAAUUGAAUUAGUCAUGGUUCCUUUGAUCCUCCAUCUGUUACUUGGGUAACUCUGAUAUUUCUAUAGUGAAUACAUGCCAAAUGCUGACCUCCCAGGAUGCAUGCAUUUAUCAGACCAAGACCAAUGUGGCUCGCCCGGCUGCUUUGGUGUCUCUAGCUAAGCUUGGGCAGAUUGCAUAUCAACUUCUGAUGCUACUUUCUGUGCCUACCAUGGUGACCACAGCUAACAGAGAAUCAGGCUUCAACUCCAGAGAGGGAUCCUGAGAAACUGCUACCACAUCCAAUUAAGGCAGCAGACAUGCAAAUUAACCACUCCCGACUCAGGGAGGUAGUGACGGAAAAUAACAAUGCAGGACUCUUUCAAGGCACUGUAAUUGAAAUCAGUACACUUUAAUUUAUUUGGCGAGGAUCCAUUGCAGGGCAAGUCUGUAACCAGUAGCCACGGUAAUUCCAUCUCCAAUAGCAUAUAUUAAAGUUGCUGCAGUUAAAAAACUUGUAGUUGGAUUUUGGGAUCGAGCUGGCUGUCCAGCGUUAGGCGAGCUAACGCUGGACCAGCCCCUGCCUCCUGGCACCCGCUUGUUGCUCAUGUGAGUGUCCUGGGGGUUUGAAGCAUUUACUUUGAAAAUAAUGGAGUGUUCAAAGCAGGCCAGUCACCAAAAUACUUCAGGUAGGAAUGAUGGAAUAGGACACCUGUUUUAUUUUGUUGGGUUGCAAAACUGGGGCCUUUAUUAAGAGGGAUGGCCGGGGCAUUGAAUUAAGCUGCUAGAGGUGAAAUUAUUGGUCUGUUAUACUUCCAACCAUAAACGAUGCCAACUAGCGAUCCAGCUGUGUUAUUCCCAUGACACUCUGAGCAGCUUCUGGGAAAUCAAAGUCUUUUUGUUCCAGGGAGAGUAUGGUUGCAAAGCCGAAACUUAAAGCAUUUGAGGGAAGGGCACCACCAGGAGUGGAGCUUGUGACUGAAUUUGGCUCAACAUGAGAAACCUCACCCAGUCGGGACACAGAAAGGAUUGACAGAUUGAAAGCUCUUUUGCAUAUCUGUGGGCAGUGUUGCAUGGCUGAUUUGUCUGGUGAAUUCCAAUGAUGAAAGAAACUCUUCCAUCCUAACUAGUUUCAUGACACCCAGUGGUCAGGGUUCUGCUUCUUAGUGGGACAAGUGGUGUUAAGCCACACGAGAUUGAGCAAGUUCAGGUCUGUGAUGCCCUUAGAUGUCCAGGGCUGCACAUGUGCUACACUGAAUGGUUCAGUGGGUGUCUACCCUUGGCCGACAGAUGAGGGUAAACCGAUGAACCCUGUUCAUGGUAGAAAUUGGGGAUUGCAAUUAUCUCCCAUGAAAGAUAAACUCCCCGUAAGUACAGGUCAUAAGGUCACGCUGAUUAAGUUCCUGCACUUUCUACACACCGUCCAUCACUACUACCGAUUGAAUGUUUUAGUGAGGUCCUCGGAUCAGCCACGCCGGGGUCGGCUACGAGAAAACAAUCAAACUUGACUAUCUAGAGGAACUAAAAGUCUUAACAAGGUUUUCCCAAGGUGAACCUGCAGAAG